rnacentral:rRNA from 1 species
CGAUGAUAUAUUACAAUAUUUAACAAAAAUGAGCAAUAAUCCGAUAAUACAACAACAACAAAACAAGGAAUUGCUCGAUCAAUGCACUAAUUUAUUAAACGAAUACAACCAAAUCAAAAAAGGUGCCAGCAGCCGCGGUAAGACAUAAGGGGCAAGUGUUAUCCGGAAUUAUUGGGCGUAAAGGGUGCGUAGGCGGUCUAGUAAGUCAGUGGUGUAAUGGCAACGCUCAACGUUGUCCGGCUAUUGAAA